UACAGAGGGUGCAAGCGUUGUUCGGAAUUACUGGGCGUAAAGCGCGUGUAGGCGGCGUCGUUAGUCGGAUGUGAAAGCCCUCGGCUCAACCGAGGAAGUGCAUCCGAUACUGCGAUGCUUGAGUGUUGGAGGGGGUGGCGGAAUUCCCGGUGUAGAGGUGAAAUGCGUAGAUAUUGGGAGGAACACCAGUGGCGAAGGCGGCUACCUGGACCGGUUCUGACGCUGAGGCGCGAAAGCGUGGGUAGCAAACAGG
rnacentral:rRNA from 1 species